GAAAUGCGAUAAGUAAUGUGAAUUGCAGAAUUCAGUGAAUCAUCGAAUCUUUGAACGCACCUUGCGCUCCUUGGUAUUCCUUGGAGCAUGCCUGUUUGAGUAUCAUGAAAUCUUCAAAGUAAAUCUUUUGUUAACUCAAUUGGUUUCUACUUUGGUAUUGGAGGUCUUUGCAGCUUCACACCUGCUCCUCUUUGUUCAUUAGCUGGAUCUCAGUGUUAUGCUUGGUUCCACUCGGCGUGAUAAGUUAUCUAUCGCUGAGGAUACUGUAAAAGGUGGCCAAGGUAAAUGCAGAUGAACCGCUUCUAAUAGUCCAUUGACUUGGACAAUACUUUUAUGAUCUGAUCUCCAAUCAGGUAGGACUACCCGCUGAACUUAAGC
rnacentral:misc_RNA from 1 species